GAGCAUUAGAAUAUCUGGCACCUGGUGGGCGGGACUUUGUGUUAUUCUCUGGAAUCAGCCCCUCCCUUCUGGUGUUCAGUUAAGAUCAGUUAGAGAGACCAACUGUCAUUCUUGCCUCAUUAAGUCGUUUUAGUUUCUCUCAGAUGGUAUGUUAUUGUGUUACAAUUUUCUUUAUUAUUAAAGCUUUGUUUGACAUGCUUACUUUGCUGAAAGAAAAGAAACACUGCUGAGGAAAGGUAUGGAAUGUCCUAAACUGUGUGAGUGAGGGGAUAUUCCCAGUUUGCCAGGAGGAUUGGUUUUGUUAAUCACCCCACCCUCCACAACAAUAGGGUUAUGGGCCCAGUCUGAAAAGAGAGAAAAAACAAUGACCACGUAUAUAAAACCUGUGAAAGCCCUAGAGCCUUCUGUGCCUGUAACCAUCCUUUAUAGAAAUUUCAAAUGGAGAAUGAGCUAGUGAAGAAGUUGUGGGAAACAAUUGAAAAAUCUGCAUCAGCAGAAGAGGCAGAAAAAGUAAAGUGGGAAAAGCAGGACAGAGAGGCAAAGACAGUAAUUUCAACUCAUGUGAGUGACAGUGACUUACACCACAUAAGCGAUUUUAAGACGGCCAAAGUGUUGUGGCGAGGUCUGAAAGAAUUGUAUGAGAGGAACACUCUGAAUGAGAGACUGUAUUUAUCAAGAAAGCUGUUUAGUUUUAAACUGAAAAAAAUACGGAGAUUUAGAAAAGCAUCAAAGUCAAGUGACAAAGUUGAUGGAUCAUUUAAUACUAUAGGCAAGAAAUUUGAAGAAGAGGAAAAAGUGAUUUUAAUUCUGCCUGAAAGUUACAAUUCUUUGAUACAUGCACUAGACUAGAGACUAAAGAUAAACUUGAUAUGAAAAUGUUGUACCAAGACUUAAAGAGGAGGCUGCUAGGAGAGCAGAAAAGGUAGCAAAGGGUGAAACACAAGUAUUUGCUGUACAAAAGACUGAUCAAGAAAGAGUGAAUAUGGUCAAGAAGAAUUCAAGUGCAAGCUGUAUCCAUCUGUGGCCCAAAAGGCUUUAGCACAGAGACUUCAGGAUUAUAGCAGACCAGCUCUAAAAGAAGCAGGCAUAGCAUAUCACUCAGGCUUCCCUUUUAAGUUGAUAGGCCAGCACAAAGGCAGAACCUGGGUUGUGAGUGAUAACCAACAGGCUGACAACAUGCCCCAAGCAGCAAAUGACUCUCCCCAGUGCGUCUCCCCAGCUCAAGCACGAAAGAGCUGGACAACCAAAAAAGGCACAAAGAAAUAAGGCAACUCCAAAGAGAAAGCACGUCCAACCUCAAAUAAGCUGCGAUCUACCAACAAGUAUCAAAAACUGGCAGUGAUCUACCACUCUCCGAAGGCAUUAAGUAACUAAACAAGUGAGAAAAGUCAAACUAUAUUUUUAUAUGUUUGCACAGAUCUGAGGAGUCAGCUUCUCUCUCUCUCUCUCUCUCUCUCUCUCUCACACACACACACACACACACACACACACACAGCAUCCUCCCUCUCUCCCUCCACCUCAGUCUUUCUGCUUCUGGAGCUUUUGGUUUCAAGUCCAAUCAUGUUAUUGCCCCCAGCCCCAAGUCAGUACCCUUAGGGAACACCCCCCCACACACAUCCCAGCCCUGCCUUAGGGCACCACGUCCCCCUCACCCCACCGCUGGUGCUCUAACCUCCCCCCCACACACACACACAGAGUGCAGUGCAGAGCAGGUGUCGGGGAAGGAAGGCAAGUCAGCUUCCUCGGCUGGAGGAAGAGGAGGAGGAGCUCAGACUUGCAUGAAACUGGACUGGCUGCGUCCCAGGCUGCAGAGAAAGGCUUUUCUUUCUCAGCCUGCGAUCGACGAAAAUCAGUCAGUGAUCCCCAAGUCAAUUGCUAUCGACACGUUGGACAUGCCUUAUUUAUAGCAUUCUUUUAGAACAAUAUGCAGGUGAUACAGGAGGCCUCCAUACAGUAUGGGGAAAAGACUAAGGGAUCAUAACUGCAGAUAAUAAAUGGCAAUCAAUUUGGCACAACCCAUCCCUAUGAACCAUCUCUGCUCAUUGGCAGGAGACUUCUCUUAAAAUUAUAUUUCACUGGCACUACACUGCAUCAUGUCUAGCCAACAUAAACACUAGCAUCUCUCCCCUAUGCUAGAAAGGCUACAGGGAGUUAGACUCAUAUUUUCAUGCAUGGUAGAGUUGCACAAUGAUAUACUUUUGGAAAAGGUGUUUCACAUUAUUUCCAAAAUUAUGCAGCAAUUUCUUUCACCCAAUUUGGCUCUUGCCUUGUUAUCAUUAGACUCAAAUUUAAUCAGUAACCUUAAAUGCAGAGAUUUGGUAUUUUUUAUUAUUAACAGCAGCCCGAUCAACAAUAGCCCGAUACUGGAAACAAACUAUAGUAAUCCCUACUGAAAUCUGGGUAAAUAAUAUUUGGAGUGUGGCUCUAUCAGAACGCCUUACUUGUCACAGAAGGGUAGUUAAAGGCACUUCAAGAAUAGACACUUUUGGCAAGAUUUGGCUUCCAUUCUUUUCCUUUAUAAAUGUGACAGAAUAUACUUUUAUUCCAUCCACAACAUAAUAAUCUCUGUGGAGAGGAUACUUGAAUUGAUAAUGCAUAAAUAAACAUAUUUCUUGUGUACUGUGUACUGCAUAUGAAACUUAAUGCACCACUGGACAAGCUACAGUAGUUAUAUCUUGUUCUUGUAUUUACAUGAAAACCAAUAAAAAUUAUUUGGAAAAGGGAUAACAUAAUGUUUGAAGACUGGGAAAGGUUGUGGAGGAAAG